CCGUGAGGGAAAGGCGAAAAGAACCCCUGUAAGGGGAGUGAAAAAGAAUCUGAAACCGUGUGCGUACAAGCAGUGGGAGCCCGAAAGGGUGACUGCGUACCUUUUGUAUAAUGGGUCAGCGAGUUAUCUGUAUUAGCGAGGUUAACUUUGAUGAGGGAGCCGUAGGGAAACCGAGUCUUAAUAGGGCGAGAAGUUGAUGCAGGUAGACCCGAAACCGAGUGAUCUAGUCCUGGACAGGCUGAAAGCAGGGUAACACCUGCCGGAGGGCCGAACCUACUGUCGUUGCAAAGCCAGAGGAUGAUCUGGGACUAGGGGUGAAAGGCCAAUCAAACCCGGUGAUAGCUGGUUCUCCCCGAAAGCUAUUUAGGUAGCGUCCUGCAGGGGCGUAUGGGGGUAGAGCACUGUUAUAGGAAGGGGUUCAUUGCGAACUACCGACCUAUUGCAAACUACGAAUACCAUACAGUUGUAAGCAGGGGACACACAGUGGGUGCUAACGUUCAUUGUGAAGAGGGAAACAACCCGGACCGCCAGCUAAGGUCCCAAAGUUCUGAUUAAGUGGGAAACGAUGUGGGAAGGCAUAGACAGCCAGGAUGUUGGCUUAGAAGCAGCCAUCAUUUAAAGAAAGCGUAAUAGCUCACUGGUCGAGUCGGCCUGCGCGGAAGAUGUAACGGGGCUCAAAUCAGACACCGAAGCUGCGGAUUUGUACUUAGGUACAAGUGGUAGGGGAGCGUUGUGUAAGCCUGAGAAGAUGUACUGGAAGGUAUGUUGGAGGUAUCACAAGUGCGAAUGCUGACGCAAGUAACGAUAAAACGAGUUAAAUGCUCGUUCGCCGGAAGACCAAGGUUUCCUGUCCAACGUUAAACGGGGCAGGGUUAGUCGGAACCUAAGGCGAGGAUGAAAAUCGUAGUCGAAGGGAAACGGGUUAAUAUUCCCGUACUUGGAUAUGUUGCGAUGAGGUGACGGAGGAGGUAAGGUUAGCCAGCCGAUGGUUGUGCUGGUGAAAGGCAGUAGGUAGUAAGAAGGGUUAAAAGACUUUUUACGAUAAUCUGAGAGCCGAGACGAAUUAACUACGGUUAAGAAGUAACCCUAUCCAGACUUCCAGGAAAAGCCUCUAAGCUACAGACAUAUACAAUCCGUACCCCAAACCGACACAGGUGGUCGGGUAGAAGAUACCAAGGCGCUUGGGAGAACCCGGGUGAAGGAACUAGGCAAAAUUGUACCGUAACUUCGGGAGAAGGUACGCUGUGGUUUGUAAUAAGAUUAACUCUUAGAGCGAACUGCAGCCGCAGAUAAAUGGUGGCUGGGACUGUUUAACAAAAACAUAGCACUCUGCAAACCUGAAAGGGGAAGUAUAGGGUGUGACACCUGCCCGGUGCCGGAAGGUUAAAUGAUGAGGUUAGAGCAAUCGAAGCCUCUGAGUGAAGCCCCGGUAAACGGCGGCCGUAACUAUAACGGUCCUAAGGUAGCGAAAUUCCUUGUCGGGCAAGUUCCGACCUGCACGAAUGGUGUAACCAUGGCCACGCUGUCUCCACCCGGGACCCAGUGAAACCGAAAUCGCUGUGAAGAUGCAGUGUACCCGCGGCUAGACGGAAAGACCCCGUGAACCUUUACUGCAGCUUGACACUGAACCUUGAACCUGUUUGUGCAGGAUAGGCGGGAGACUUUGAAGUAGAGACGCCAGUCUUUAUGGAGUCGACCUUGAAAUACCGCCCUGAUAUGUUUGAGGUUCUAACUUGAAGGUAACAGCCUUAAGGACAGUGUCUGGUGGGAAGUUUGACUGGGGCGGUCUCCUCCCAAAGAGUAACGGAG
rnacentral:rRNA from 1 species